GACAGAGGGUGCAAACGUUGUUCGGAAUUACUGGGCGUAAAGCGCGUGUAGGCGGCUAUGUAAGUCGGGCGUGAAAUCCCACGGCUCAACCGUGGAAGUGCACCCGAAACUGCGUAGCUAGAGUCCUGGAGAGGAAGGUGGAAGUGCUUGGUGUAGAGGUGAAAUUCGUAGAUAUUCGCAAGAACACCAGUGGCGAAGGCGGACUCACUGGCCCGAGUACUGACGCUGAGGCACGAAAGCGUGGG
rnacentral:rRNA from 1 species